CUGUUCUCAGAUGCUUUUUAUUCUUCCCAAGAAAUAAAAAUAUUUAAAUAUUAGAAUUAUAAUCAUUUUUUUACCUAAGAUUGAAUUUAUUUAAAGACUUACUAUAUUUCCAUGAUAAAAAAUGUAUGUAUGUGUGUAUGUGUGUGCAUGUGUAUGUGUAUGUGUGUCCUCUAAGUGACUCAACAUUUAUAAGGGUUGAUAAAUCCAUCAGGGUCAACAAGAGCAAAUAGCUUGUACAUAUGGUAGUAUGAAAUUAUUUAUGCUAGUUUGAUGUGUGUAAAAUAAAUCAUUAACAUUUACAUAUUUAAUUUCAGCUUCAAAUGAUGCAGUUCUUUAAAUAAGACUUGUAAUCCCAAAUGUUCAUGCUUGUUAUUUUUGCAAAGACCAAAUUGAAAUUUAACCAUCUUCUUCCUAAAUCUGUGGACUGACAGAAAAAACCUGCUCUUUUAAAAAAAGUAACCAGAAAUUAUUUUAAUACUACCUUUUAAUUAUGAAAUUAUAACAUUGAUAAAACUAUUCUAGGCUCUCUUGAAAUUAGUUUCUGAACAUAACUUUUUUCUCUGUUCCAAUAUAGAAAUGGUUGAGUAUGAAACCAUUCUGUUGUGUAUAUCUUUUUCAUGAUUGGACCAUGUAAAUCCCUAACUGUUCAGGCCAGGCAUGGUGGCUCACACGUGUAAUGCCCGAUCUUUGGGAGGGCAAGGCCUGUGGAUCACUUGAGGCCAGGAGCUAGAAACCAGCCUGGCCAAAAUGGUGAAAUCCCAUCUCUACUAAAAAUACAAAAAUUAGCUGGGCAUGUUGGUGCAUGCCUGUAAUCUCAGCUACUUGGGAGUCCGCGAGGCAGGAGAAUCACUUGGACCAGGGAUGGAGGUUGCAGCGAGUGGAGAUCAGCCUGCGCAACACAAUGAGGCUCCAUCUCAAUAAAUAUAUAAAAACCAAUAUAUGCAUGUCAAAACCCAUUGUGGAACCUCGGCUGACAUCAAGGCACCAAAAUGUCUAAAUACAAAUACGACUCGAAAUACCCUUCAGCUCCGGCUUCAAGUUCGGUAAGUAACCCUAAAGAAAAUCCACUGCGGGGCACUUGGCCCCCCCUCACCAAAGCACACCCCCCUUCACUCUGCUGCAGUGUUCUUUCUGUCUAAUACAACUUUCUUUUUCAAACUUAUACUGUUGUCGGUAAAUUCUUUUUACCACCUGUGAGCUAACCACUCUGAUACAGGGGCUCUGACACCUUGCACGGGCAUAUAUAAAACAUUUAAAAAUAUGUGUGUGUGUGUGUGUGUGUGUGUGUAAAACUGAAAC
rnacentral:lncRNA from 1 species